rnacentral:rRNA from 1 species
GAGUUUGAUCCUGGCUCAGAUUGAACGCUGGCGGCAGGCCUAACACAUGCAAGUCGAACGGUAACAGGAAGAAGCUUGCUUCUUUGCUGACGAGUGGCGGACGGGUGAGUAAUUUCUGGGAAACUGCCUGAUGGAGGGGGAUAACUACUGGAAACGGUAGCUAAUACCGCAUAACGUCGCAAGACCAAAGAGGGGGACCUUCGGGCCUCUUGCCAUCGGAUGUGCCCAGAUGGGAUUAGCUUGUUGGUGGGGUAACGGCUCACCAAGGCGACGAUCCCUAGCUGGUCUGAGAGGAUGACCAGCCACACUGGAACUGAGACACGGUCCAGACUCCUACGGGAGGCAGCAGUGGGGAAUAUUGCACAAUGGGCGCAAGCCUGAUGCAGCCAUGCCGCGUGUAUGAAGAAGGCCUUCGGGUUGUAAAGUACUUUCAGCGGGGAGGAAGGGAGUAAAGUUAAUACCUUUGCUCAUUGACGUUACCCGCAGAAGAAGCACCGGCU